AUUGAACGCUGGCGGCAGGCCUAACACAUGCAAGUCGAAUGGUAACAGGAAACAGCUUGCUGUUUCGCUGACGAGUGGCGGACGGGUGAGUAAUGUCUGGGAAACUGCCUGAUGGAGGGGGAUAACUACUGGAAACGGUAGCUAAUACCGCAUAACGUCGCAAGACCAAAGAGGGGGACCUUCGGGCCUCUUGCCAUCAGAUGUGCCCAGAUGGGAUUAGCUAGUAGGUGGGGUAACGGCUCACCUAGGCGACGAUCCCUAGCUGGUCUGAGAGGAUGACCAGCCACACUGGAACUGAGACCCGGUCCAGACUCCUACGGGAGGCGGCAGUGGGGAAUAUUGCACAAUGGGCGCAAGCCUGAUGCAGCCAUGCCGCGUGUAUGAAGAAGGCCUUCGGGUUGUAAAGUACUUUCAGCGGGGAGGAAGGGAGUAAAGUUAAUACCUUUGCUCAUUGACGUUACCCGCAGAAGAAGCACCGGCUAACUCCGUG
rnacentral:rRNA from 1 species